rnacentral:rRNA from 1 species
GUGCCAGCAGCCGCGGUAAUUCCAGCUCCAAUAGCGUAUAUUAAAGUUGUUGUGGUUAAAAAGCUCGUAGUUGAACCUUGGGCCUGGCUGGCCGGUCCGCCUCACCGCGUGCACUGGUCCGGCCGGGCCUUUCCCUCUGUGGAACCCCAUACCCUUCACUGGGCGUGGCGGGGAAACAGGACAUUUACUUUGAAAAAAUUAGAGUGCUCCAGGCAGGCCUAUGCUCGAAUACAUUAGCAUGGAAUAAUAAAAUAGGACGCGCGGUUCUAUUUUGUUGGUUUAUAGGACCGCCGUAAUGAUUAAUAGGGACAGUCGGGGGCAUCAGUAUUCAACUGUCAGAGGUGAAAUUCUUGGAUCAGUUGAAGACUAACUACUGCGAAAGCAUUUGCCAAGGAUGUUUUCAUUAAUCAGGAACGAAAGUUAGGGGAUCGAAGACGAUCAGAUACCGUCGUAGUCUUAACCAUAAACUAUGCCGACUAGGGAUCGGACGGUGUUAUUCAUGACCCGUUCGGCACCUUACGAGAAAUCAAAGUGCUUGGGCUCCAGGGGGAGUAUGGUCGCAAGGCUGAAACUUAAAGAAAUUGACGGAAGGGCACCACCAGGGGUGGAGCCUGCGGCUUAAUUUGACUCAACACGGGGAAACUCACCAGGUCCAGACACAUAAGGAUUGACAGAUUGAGAGCUCUUUUCUUGAUUUUGUGGGUGGUGGUGCAUGACCGUUCUUAGUUGGUGGGGUGACUUGUCUGCUCAUUGCGAUAACGACGAGACUUAACCUGCUAAUAGCCCGCAUUGCUCCGGCAGUGCGCUGGCUCUA